GCUGUCCCCAGCCGCCUCAGCAGUUUGAGAACUGCUCUUCCUUCCGUUUUUUCCAAAACUUUCACUACCGUCUUUUGGCUCGGCUUUGCUUGAUUUCCUGUUAAUGUUGUUUGCCCACUACCCGCAAGAGAAUUCGGUGCAGUGCAAACUUGCAGUUCUUGCGUGCUGGUUGUUUUUGUUUCCCCUGCAGACUUGAAAGGACUUAGUGCUCACACGCACACACACAAGCUCUCAUAGUUCAUGUUGCGGAACCCCUUCUCCUUUUACCCUUGAAAAGCAUAACGCCCAGAGAGAGGAAGUAAUUGCCCAGGGUGAGGAAGGGAGAUGGCUGGUCUUAUUGAAAGGGGUGUAAGGCGUAGAAUAGAAAAGAAGAUUUUUUCCCUUUCUUUUCUUCUCCAUUAUAGCCUUAGAUGAUUACUAAUAGAACGUGUAACCAAUUAAUGAAAUAUAUAUAUAUAUUUAACCUUAUGUUCCAGCUGAGAUUUUGUUGCAGUUACAAGUUGACCAGGAAAGAACAAAGACAUUUUUAACCCAGCUCUGAACCCACAUGCCAGGUCCCCAGGUUCCUAACAAUGCCUCAGAGCCCAAAAGGUGAACCAGGUGCCUUGUUAUUCAUCAUAAGCCCUGUCACCACAACUGGGUUUAUGUUAAUGAAAAUGACAUUUGCAAAGCACCUAAGGAUGGGGGCUGGCUGCCAGGGGAACCAACCCUGAACAGAGCUACAUAAUGAAACCUCCCUAACAAUACCCAAAAGGAGGAGGACGGGGAACCAGAACACAUCCAUGUGCCACCGUGCCAGACUCCAAGCUCCAUGAGGACAAUAGCCUCUUUGUUUGGACCUUGCUCCGUAUCUGUCUUCUCAAGUGGCCCAUGAUUGGUAUCUUUUAAUAUCCUCUGCAAUAAACGGAAAAUCUAGUGAAUAAACUCAGCUCACUUGAGUUCUGCAAGCUGAUUUGGUAAAUUAAUCAAACCCUAGAAGGGGGACCUGGGAACCUCUGAGUUGUAGCAUGUUGGUUAGAAGCACAGGUAACAACCUGGGCUUAAAACUGGCUUCUGGAGUGGAGAGUGUU